CAUGGCUCAGGACGAACGCUGGCGGCGUGCUUAACACAUGCAAGUCGAACGAUGAUGCCCAGCUUGCUGGGUGGAUUAGUGGCGAACGGGUGAGUAAUACGUGAGUAACCUGCCCUUGACUCUGGGAUAAGCCUGGGAAACUGGGUCUAAUACUGGAUACUACCGUCCAUCGCAUGGUGGGUGGUGGAAAGGGUUUUACUGGUUUUGGAUGGGCUCACGGCCUAUCAGCUUGUUGGUGGGGUAAUGGCUCACCAAGGCGACGACGGGUAGCCGGCCUGAGAGGGUGACCGGCCACACUGGGACUGAGACACGGCCCAGACUCCUACGGGAGGCAGCAGUGGGGAAUAUUGCACAAUGGGCGGAAGCCUGAUGCAGCGACGCCGCGUGAGGGAUGACGGCCUUCGGGUUGUAAACCUCUUUCAGUAGGGAAGAAGCGCAAGUGACGGUACCUGCAGAAGAAGCGCCGGCUAACUACGUGCCAGCAGCCGCGGUAAUACGUAGGGCGCAAGCGUUGUCCGGAAUUAUUGGGCGUAAAGAGCUCGUAGGCGGUUUGUCGCGUCUGCUGUGAAAGCCCGGGGCUCAACCCCGGGUCUGCAGUGGGUACGGGCAGACUAGAGUGCAGUAGGGGAGACUGGAAUUCCUGGUGUAGCGGUGAAAUGCGCAGAUAUCAGGAGGAACACCGAUGGCGAAGGCAGGUCUCUGGGCUGUUACUGACGCUGAGGAGCGAAAGCAUGGGGAGCGAACAGGAUUAGAUACCCUGGUAGUCCAUGCCGUAAACGUUGGGCACUAGGUGUGGGGGACAUUCCACGUUCUCCGCGCCGUAGCUAACGCAUUAAGUGCCCCGCCUGGGGAGUACGGCCGCAAGGCUAAAACUCAAAGGAAUUGACGGGGGCCCGCACAAGCGGCGGAGCAUGCGGAUUAAUUCGAUGCAACGCGAAGAACCUUACCAAGGCUUGACAUUCACCGGACCGUCCCAGAGAUGGGGUUUCCCUUCGGGGUCGGUGGACAGGUGGUGCAUGGUUGUCGUCAGCUCGUGUCGUGAGAUGUUGGGUUAAGUCCCGCAACGAGCGCAACCCUCGUUCUAUGUUGCCAGCACGUGAUGGUGGGGACUCAUAGGAGACUGCCGGGGUCAACUCGGAGGAAGGUGGGGAUGACGUCAAAUCAUCAUGCCCCUUAUGUCUUGGGCUUCACGCAUGCUACAAUGGCCGGUACAAAGGGUUGCGAUACUGUGAGGUGGAGCUAAUCCCAAAAAGCCGGUCUCAGUUCGGAUUGAGGUCUGCAACUCGACCUCAUGAAGUCGGAGUCGCUAGUAAUCGCAGAUCAGCAACGCUGCGGUGAAUACGUUCCCGGGCCUUGUACACACCGCCCGUCAAGUCACGAAAGUUGGUAACACCCGAAGCCGGUGGCCUAACCCCUUUGUGGGAGGGAGCCGUCGAAGGUGGGACUGGCGAUUGGGACUAAGUCGUAACAGG
rnacentral:rRNA from 1 species